rnacentral:rRNA from 1 species
CGGCAACAGCUCAAAUUUGAAAUCUGGCCCCCGGGUCCGAGUUGUAAUUUGCAGAGGAUGCUUUUGGCGAGGUGCCUACCGAGUUCCCUGGAACGGGACGCCACAGAGGGUGAGAGCCCCGUACGGUAGAGCCACCGAGCCUCUGUAAAGCUCCUUCGAC